rnacentral:rRNA from 1 species
CGUUGUAAUUUGCAGGCGGAUGUUUUGGGGCGGGCGCUGUCUACGUUCCUUGGAACAGGACGCCGCAGAGGGUGAGAGCCCCGUGCGAUGGCGCCUCCAACCGCGUAAAACUCCGCCGACGAGUCGAGUUGUUUGGGAAUGCAGCUCCAAGUGGGUGGUAAAUUCCAUCUAAAGCUAAAUACUGGCGAGAGACCGAUAGCGAACAAGUACAGUGAUGGAAAGAUGAAAAGCACUUUGAAAAGAGAGUGAAACAGCACGUGAAAUUGUUGAAAGGGAAGGGUAUGCGAUUAGCGGCCAGCAGGAGGUGCCUUCUCGUGAAAAGGCCGUGCACCGUCUUCGGACACCGUGCGCGGAGAUGGCGAGGGGGCGCCUGAGGUCUGCGACUCGAGGUUGCUGGC